CAUUAGUAUGACUGGUCUCGCUGAUCCCUCCCUCUUGACGAACUGUGAUGCCAUUAAUUUGGUGUCGCAGGGAAUCAGGACUGUUACUUUGAAAAAAUUAGAGUCGUUUAAAGCAGGCUUUCGCUUGAAUACAUUAGCAUGGAAUAAUGAAAUAGGACGUUUGAUCCUAUUUUGUUGGUUUCUAGGAUUGACGUAAUGAUUAAUAGGGAUAGUUGGGGGCAUUAGUAUUCAAUUGUCAGAGGUGAAAUUCUUGGAUUUAUUGAAGACUAACUACUGCGAAAGCAUUUGCCAAGGAUGUUUUCAUUAAUCAAGAACGAAAGUUAGGGGAUCGGAGACGAUCAGAUACCGUCGUAGUCUUAACCAUAAACUAUGCCGACUAGGGAUCGGAUGAUGUUAAUUUUUUAAUGACUCAUUCGGCGCCUUACG
rnacentral:rRNA from 1 species